GUGCUUGUUUCAGUAGCACAUAUCCUAACCUUGGAAUGAUACAAAAAAAUUAGCAUGGCCCCUGGGCAAAGAUGACAUGAAAAUUCAUGAAGUAUUCCAUAUUUAA
ensembl:snRNA U6 U6 spliceosomal RNA